GGACCUGACUGCUAUCGGAUUGAUACUAAGCCAUGCGAGUCAUUGUAGCAAUACAAGGCAUACGGCUCAGUAACGCGUAGUCAACCUAACCUAUGGACGGGAAUAACCUCGGGAAACUGAGAAUAAUGCCCGAUAGAACAUUAUGCCUGGAAUGGUUUAUGUUCCAAAUGAUUUAUCGCCGUAGGAUGGGACCGCGGCCUAUCAGUUUGUUGGUGAGGUAAUGGCCCACCAAGACUAUUACAGGUACGGGCUCUGAGAGGAGUAGCCCGGAGAUGGGUACUGAGACACGGACCCAGGCCCUAUGGGGCGCAGCAGGCGAGAAAACUUUGCAAUGUGCGAAAGCACGACAAGGUUAAUCCGAGUGGUUUCUGCUAAAGAAACCUUUUGUCAGUCCUGGAAACACUGAUGAAUAAGGGGUGGGCAAGUUCUGGUGUCAGCC
rnacentral:rRNA from 1 species